ensembl:lncRNA
AGAAUAAGCCGAUCUGUUGGGCAGACACCAUCAGCAGAUGAUGAGCUUCUCUGAGUAUAGGAGCCUGGAGAGCAUUAAACAAAUGCCAGCUUCACAAACGAUCAUCUCAUCUGCCUUCCCUGUCCCACCAAGACUCUGCAGUGCUUCUGAUCCAUUGGCUCCUCCUGCCUGAAGCUUUGGUCAUCCUCUGCACCUCUCCCAGCUGCAGGCUGUGGACAGGGACACCCAAGUCAUGCGCCAUGUGCCAGAAGGAGACGUUCCCUGCAGGGCCUCAGUCCCACAAGGACCAUUGCUUUUCUGUUCUUUGCUUCUCUCCUUAAUCUUUGUUUCUACUUGUAAUAUCAACUCCGUUGAUUUUUUUUUUUUCAAAAACUCUUCCAUCUCUUGAACAUAUGGAAAAAGAUAAUUUAAAAUUCAUCGUUGUGUAGGAUUAUUUCCAUGUGAGUCACUUUGCAUUUAUCCAUAAAUUAACCACCAACUUACUGCCCAGGUGCUACUGAUGUCCUCCUGAAACUUCUCUGUCAUCUUCAGAUUUCUCUGUUCUAAAUAGCUCUGCAUCACCAGUAACAUUUUUUCAUGCCAUUAAUCAAACUCUUUACAUCUCAUUACAUCUACUGUAACUUCAGGAUCUUGUUGCUGGGUGGUAAUGGUUUGUUCAGAAAACACUGUCAUAGAAGUAAAGCAAGAACUGUUCUUCUCAUGUUUAUUUAUUCACAGUGAAUUUAAUUUGUCAUUCUAGAAAAAUAUGUUGCUUUAAGAAACAGAAGACAUUUAUUUAAAACAGACUUCUUUCAUAAACAAACUUAAAAUUAAACUGCAAUAAAGAAGCUGAUGAUCUGUUUUAAGACAUGAAACUAUGACAAGUGCACUGAGAUGUAGAUUUUCAGAUCUUAUGUCGACAUAAAUGAAACAUAAUAUUUAAGAAUGACAUUGCUUAUUUCCAAAGUCUGCAAAAGAAAGAGCACUAAGCUCAUAAAAGCCACCAGACAAACAUCUAAACCUGUUUUUGGUCAAAGUAAUAAGACAGUUUUACCACUAUUUCAUCUCAGUGGGAAUGCAGUGGGGUUUUUGUUCCAGCGUGUUCAUCUCGUUCUGCUCAAUGAUGAGUUAAUUGAAAGCUGAAAAACUGUUUGGAAAUGGGAAAAGCGAGGUGUGAUCUUCUGCACUAACACAGAAGUAAAAGUGAAAUGCUUGGAGUCUG